GUCAACAUGUUUUUAUAAUUGAUAGAGCUAGAAUAAUUCAUUAGUUCAGUACAUUUCAGUAUCACUAAGACUUUCAAUUCAUUCUCUUUGAUUUGGCUGCUAAAUGUUCUAUUUUUUCAUUUUUCAGUUGGAGAUCCGAUUAGAAAUAUAUCACAUACAGUAAAAUGAAGCCAUCUCCUAGGAGUAACAGAUGAAGUCAAACAGAAUAGUAAGGAUUUUGAGGCAAGUAUUUUAUGACUAUAGUUCUAAAUGAAAUAGCAAAGUUUUCUAAAACAAAAUAUUUUCAGGUAAUAUAUUCAGUUGUUUUUGGACUACUGGUAAUUAAGACGUGACUUUGGAUGACAGCCAAGAUUAUGAUUUAAGGUGUUGACAUUGUUCUAUAUAAUUUUUGUUGUUGUCAUAUCUGUACUGUCUUUUGAUAGUAGUUACCACAGUAUUAUUUAAUUAUAGCUUUACAUUUUAAAGUUAACAAGUUUUGUUUUUUUUUCUAUUUCAAAUGCUCUGAAUACAUAACUAAACAGGAAGAAUAGAUGAAUUGCAAAACUCAAAAGCAAGGAUUUUGAGACCAAGAUGAAGUACAUCCUGCAGACUUACAGACCAAAAUAAUGUACAUCCUGCUGAUUUACAGAUCAAAAUAAUGUACAUCCUGCUGAUUUACAGAUCAAAAUAACGUACAUCCUGCAGAUUUACAGAUCAAAAUAAUGUACAUCCUGCUGAUUUACAGACAAAAAUAAAGUACAUCCUGCUGAUUUACAGAUCAAAAUAACGUCAUCCUGCUGAUUUACAGAUCAAAAUAACGUACAUCCUGCUGAUUUACAGAUCAAAAUAACGUACAUCCUGCUGAUUUACAGAUCAAAAUAACGUACAUCCUGCUGAUUUACAGAUCAAAAUAACGUACAUCCUGCUGAUUUACAGAUCAAAAUAACGUACAUCCUGCUGAUUUACAGAUCAAAAUAACGUACAUCCUGCUGAUUUACAGAUCAAAAUAACGUACAUCCUGCUGAUUUACAGAUCAAAAUAACGUACAUCCUGCUGAUUUACAGAUCAAAAUAACGUACAUCCUCCUGAUUUACAGAUCAAAAUAAAGUACAUUCUGGUGAUUUACAAACACUUGCAUGGGCUGCUUGUAAUAAAAAGUGUCUUUAGGUGAUAGCCAAGAUGAAACUUUGUGAAAUUAUUUAUUAGCAUAGACAAGAAAUGAAUAAAUAAAAACAUCUGGUA